GCAUAAGCCAUUUACAGCAUUAUGUGGAGACUGCGGGAGCUGGGCCUGUUCAGUCCAGAGAAGAGUGAGGGGAGAUCUCAUUAAUGCAUAUCAUAUAAACAUGUCAAAGUCAGGACAAUACCUCACACUUGUGGAUAAAUGCUACCCUCAUUGGUACUGCUAAAAUCAUUGUAGCAGUGAGGUCCCUACAGAACACUCAAUGGAGAGCAGGGUCCUGCCUGGAACAGAACAUCAUCAAUAGCAGUGUCACUUCUCAUUGACACACCGCGGAUCACCUCAAAAAUAAUCUGUAAAGGUGCACAUGAUGUAAUGUGGUGGAGAAUGCCUGUAACUCUGCUUUGUGUUAUGUGCUGAGCACAUCUCAGCUUGGCCAAGGCAAACCUGUCCGUUGCAGUCCCCACAGCUUUGGUGGCACUUCUUUGAAGAAAAAUCCAUCAGAUCUGCAACCUAUGGCAAACUGUUGACCAGCACCCCACACGGAAGCCAACAUAAGGAAUUUAGCAAGCCAGACUAUGAAAAAAGGGACUCUUGUGUUUUAAAAGGGGGCAUUUCUGGGGCCACGCUUCUCCUCAGACUAAAAGUUCGAGAAAGAGAAGAAAGAGAUGCUCCAACCCGAUCAACCCUGAUUUGGCUGCUGCAUUUCUGGAUUUCCAUUAAUCUAGAAGAUUUUGUACUUCAAAAGCAAUGACUUCUUGGUUGAAGCAAUUACUUCCUUGGUGUGCUCCAAAGAGGUUAAACUAAAAGCCUGUGGUGCUCAUCAUCUAAGGCAAGCUCUGAAGCAAACCUGGACUCAGUCAGGGAAGCAGGAAGACUCUGGUCACAGCAAGCAGCAGCCCUGGGAGGAGAGGACAAGCAAGCUUUGGAGCUCAGGUUCAUCCUGGACCGGGAAUAUGCAAUGGUGAAGAUUCAGCAUCCACAACCACAAAACCUGCAGCCAAGAAACACACUCGAAGUUGAACAUCACAACUGUAAGGACCAUGGGAUUACAGCAAAUUGCACAGCGAUGGUCUGAACAUCCAAAAGAUUCACAAAGUAUUUUACAGGAUGCUGUGGGCAACUGUGGGGAGGAGCUGAUGCCCUAGAGCUCCCUCCCAUGUGCCUCAGGAGUCUCUACUACCACUGGAAGUAGAUUCCGUUGUGGAGCUUCUGCCCCGAGCAAGAUAUAUGAACUACCCAGAAUUAGUGAGGAUCACUUGGUAUCAAAAGGAAAAGAUACCUUCUUACGCAUACUCCAAUCUAAGGGAACAGAAAGAGAUGGAUGCCAAUCAACAUCAUGAACGUUUAGGCAUCUAGGAGAGCAGUAUUUUGCUUUGUACAAGGUAUCUAAUUUCUGAUUACAAGAAACAAGAAUUUUGAUACAUUUUAACUUCCCUGGGCUUUGUGUUUAAACUAAUAUAGCCAGUCAAAUUCUUCUUUGUAACUGAGUCCAAGUCAGCAAACAACCUAAUACAUCUGGAUUCAUUUCUGGCCAUUGAUGUCACCCAGAAUAGGCACAGGGCUUUGCCAUCUGUCUGGCCAAGUCCACUCUUCACAUCUGCCACUGGUGGCCUCUCUGCUUCCCCUCGCUAGGCAAUGGUAACAAAGGAAUUCCUUCAGGCAUCCCCUUCAAACGCUCCCCAGCUGCCCUGAAACACUUGUCAUCACAGAUGCUAAGACUUUAUUCUUAACACAAGCCCCAAAUAUUUCUAUUUUUUUCUAGAUUAUGUUUGAAGUGAAAAGUUAUUGAGAAUUUUGGUGAAUUUUAGCACUUAUUUCAAUAUCAUUCCAGUGAGUAUCCAGUAUUAUCCCUGGGCAAUUGCUCACAAAGGAAUUUAGCAUACCCCAUCUGAACUGUAAGACACAUUUAUCAAGACUGGACUGGAACCUCAGAUAUAAAUGAGUCAUUGAAAAAAUCUAUCAAUCUGGCCCUGACAGUUCAUGACACUGUUUUCUUCAGGAUGUCCUAACUGACUACUGUUUCAUGGUCAAAAUACACAAAAGCUUGUCAAAACUUUCCGAAGUAAUAGAGUUUAUGGCCUUUCAUUAGAUUUUUUCUAACUAUUAUUAUUUUUCCCCCUAAAGGAUUACUAAGGCUACUAGGUCUUAUUCUACUUACUUUAUAUCCUAAAUAUCCUAGGGUGAUCACACAGACAUUAAUGAAGUUUAGGUAAAUCCAUAAAACACCAUUUGAAUUAACUUACCCUAGUACACUAGGGCUGCCAAACCUCACCAGGUACUUAACACUGCCCCCAGGGAGUGGUUCUCUUGCAAAUUUGUCCCCCAGUUUAUUGCUUACAAUGUAGUCAAGGGACCCAAAAAGGCAGCAGCAGAUCUCACUUGCAUCCUCCCAGCUGGCUGUUAGUAUGAAUUAAACAUAAAACAAGUGCACUGCAAUACAACUCCCUGUUGCCUCCCAGUUCUUGUUGCCAUUUUACAGUGUGGAGGACUGCCUGUGCUGUUUGUGACACCGACUGUAUCAACACACGAGCCCAACUAAGCAGCAUGUUCCUCGCAUUUAUUCAAAAUAAAAAGAAACUAUGCAGAAAAUAAAGCCCACAGGCAUAACUUUGCUCUAUCUGCCAAGCUUUGAGUGGUCUUUCUAAAAACAGUCCUUAGUCCAGUUUUUCUGAGAAUGCCUUUUAGUGUUGCAUUUGCCAUAAAGUAUAGCUCAGAAUUGAGACAAGGCAAAUGCUGGAAUGCUUGAAGGUGUUACCAAAGUUCACACAGCAUCAACAAACACAUUCAGCACCAGUCCCAACACAUUUUCUGUG